rnacentral:lncRNA from 1 species
UUUUUUUCUUGAAAACGCAUGACAGCUGCAUUUCAUUAGAAUAAGAAGAAACAGUACAGUCUCAAAUAGACCUAUGACCUUAACUCUAGGACCAGCUCAUGGUGGCCAAAACUUAGAAUACAAAAAAGGAUCCAUAAAAACACUACCUACCAACACUAGCUGACAGGAACAAAAGACAUUUGGCACCAGCCAUCAGCCACAAAUCCCUCUCUUCACAAAAACGAGAGAAAAAAACAACAGACAUAGAAGGUGAAAGGCCCUCAAAAACACAUCCAUUGCGCAUUUUCUUGAUAGUCCAAGAACCUAGUAUGACUAGAGGAUUGAAACCCCUUCUAGUCAACCCCUCUGUUCUUCAACUUGUGCCCACCAACAUAAGAAGGAGCUGUCUUCAGGUUUAGGGGCAAUGGGGUGCAAUCUGUAGAGCCUAAAAAUCUUGAACCAAAAAACUCUUGCAAAAAUGCAAGAGGGGAGCAAAUGGUUAAUAGUUUCCUCCCCUUGACCACAUAAUUUAGGGUCUAGGGAUGACCCUAGUGCAUGUCGCAUACUCAUUCAUGUAUAAAACUAAUUGUUGAGAACUUGUUCAGCCUCAAGUAAACAUCUUACUAGAAUAGCAAUUGGCACAGGGGAAAGUCAACAGUACAGCAUGUUUAUAAUUAAUUUCUAUGUUUCCUUCAAGCAGUCAGCGUGUAUUUGAUAAUUGGAAAGAUUCACCAGUGACAAUGCUACCAUCAAUAAAGAAACUCAUUUCAAGUGGCACAAGAAUAUGGCUGUACAGGUAAAUAUGUUCAGAUUUAUGUGUGCCAAAAUACCUAACUCGGUGGGUUACAUCAUAAGAACAUGACUUAAACUAUGUCAUUGUGUGGCAGUGGUGAUAUGGAUGCCGUGUGUUCGUUCAUUUCAACACAAUAUGUGCUGGAUAAUCUUGGGCUUCCUGUAGAAGCAUCUUGGCGUCCAUGGCGCAUCGACAAUGAGGUACAUGGCCCACUGUUCAUCAGAUGAAAGAUUGAAUAUCAGCAUUCAUGUCACCAGAAUCCUUUAGAUCAAGUUGUAUGGGUUUCCUAAAAAUAGCAAAAACUAAAGGAUGAGUCAUCAUGUUGCUUGACUGGUCUUGUGAUGAUCACUAGUCCCCAAAGCGAUUUGAUAGUCAGGUUAUUAAACUCUUACAACAUAAAAUGUUUGAAGAUGAAUUGGUUAUACACACGCAAUUAAUAUUGGUUAUAGUUGGCACACAAUUGCUGCAAAAGAGUGUGUGUGCCGAAAACAUCAUGAAUGCAUUAUUCUGUCUAGCAGUGGCUGUGGACAAAUAGCAAAAAAAAAUCCUAACUUUUCAUGAAUCAGCAGGUUGCUGGCUACGUCAUUGGGUAUAAAGGGUUGGUCUUCGCAACGGUCAGAGGAGCUGGGCACAUGGUGCCAUACUACCAGCCUCGCAGUGCAUUGGCACUGUUCUCAUCAUUCCUCGAAGGGAAGCUCCCUCCACACUGAUCCAUUAAGCUAGCAUGGUUUGUGAAUGUCAUGUACUACACUUGUAGCUCGCCUUUAGGAAGGGGUUUUCAAUGAACCAAGCAGGAGUGCUGCUGAUUAUAUUAAUAAAAAAAACCUUCAGUUCAACUUCCUUGCGCAAGCACAGACAAUUACGUAAUUCUAUCUGAUUGUUUGGCGUGCACCAAGGAGACCAACUAACGCUGGUCUGUCGCUAGCACCGAGAAAAUAAGUUAAUACCAAAUCCUGAGCAGGUUUUAAGCAUGUUGGAUUAUUUGUAUCCAAAACUGAACAAUGUUAGUACUGGCGCCAUCAUUGGGCCUGGAUUGACGACAUCCAGGUAUCGAAUCGAAGUGGAAAAAAGGAAGGACGGGAUUCAGAACUUCAGACUAGAGAAGAGAUUCCUCAAACGAAGUGAGGAAAUAGAGAAGGCGAAAGGCUGGGGAGAGAUCCCAGAGUCGGGUCGUCUCCACUGCGAGAGGGGAUGAGAAGCGAACCUCGGAGAAAGGGUCGCGGCAGCAGAACGGGCACCGUACGAACCCGCGACGGAGGAUAAGGAGUGAGGGUAUGUAUAAGGGGACGAAGAGGACGACGACGGUUCCUCCCGUCUGAAGGCCGCCCACCUUGGAGGCGCCGCCGCUCCCCACCUUGGAGGCGCCGCCGGGACCGGGGCCCAUGGAGCUGGACGCCCCACCUCCCGCCGCCGCCGUGGCGAUUCCUCCCGCCGGCAGCGACAAGCACAAGGGCUUCGAGAGGAUGAAGUUCGCACGUGCUGGAUCUGAACCGCUCGCAAAAAUCCAGAUGCAUCAUUCGAAGAUGAAUCCUAGGAUUAUGCGGAUGGGUCAUCGAAGGUAUGAUCCUGAAACGCAUAAUCUAUCUGUUCAGGUUGAAUUUGAGGAUCAAUCGAAUGUGAAUCAAGUUUUUUCUGCUUGCAAGAAUGAUUCUCCGUUUGAGUUUGUUGGUUUGAGGAGCAUGAAAAUCAAACAUACUCCUGUGAUGUUUCGUUGGAAUUCCGGGAGAAAUCAUACCUCAAAUCCAUGGAAAAUCCAUGGAGAUUUGAUUCCUUCCUGGAUCACGCCACCCCGGGGUGAUGUUGUCUUGCCUCAAUUUCGG